rnacentral:rRNA from 1 species
UAGGGAAUCUUCCACAAUGGACGCAAGUCUGAUGGAGCAACGCCGCGUGAGUGAAGAAGGUUUUCGGACCGUAAAGCUCUGUUGUUGGUGAAGAAGGAUAGAGGUAGUAACUGGCCUUUAUUUGACGGUAAUCAACCAGAAAGUCACGGCUAACUACGUGCCAGCAGCCGCGGUAAUACGUAGGUGGCAAGCGUUGUCCGGAUUUAUUGGGCGUAAAGCGAGCGCAGGCGGAAGAAUAAGUCUGAUGUGAAAGCCCUCGGCUUAACCGAGGAAUUGCAUCGGAAACUGUUUUUCUUGAGUGCAGAAGAGGAGAGUAGAACUCCAUGUGUAGCGGUGGAAUGCGUAGAUAUAUGGAAAAAUACCAGUGGCGAAGGCGGCUCUCUGGUCUGCAACUGACGCUGAGGCUCGAAAGCAUGGGUAGCGAACAGGAUUAGAUACCCUGGUAGUCCAUGCCGUAAACGAUGAGUGCUAAGUGUUGGGAGGCUUCCGCCUCUCAGUGCUGCAGCUAACGCAUUAAGCACUCCGCCUGGGGGAGUACGACCGCAAGGUUGAAAC